UCCCGAGUGGCUCAGACAAUAAAGAGUCUGACUGCAAUGUAGGAGACCCGGGUUCGAUCCCUGGUUCGGGAA
rfam:Ovis aries breed Texel chromosome 5, whole genome shotgun sequence.